AUGGAAGCUAUCGAGGGCAGCCAAGACCUUGCCAAUGUUGAAUCUGCUCCUCCUGCUGUGGCCGUUGGUGAGGAUUGCAGUACGCUUGUUGUGGCUGGCUGCUCAGCUGAGUUGAGUGAGAAGGCUCAGUCCGUUGAUGAUCCGCCUGCCUUGGAAAAGGUCAUGCUCGAGGAUGAUCCUCCUGACUUGGCUUCUGUCCUACCCGGGAUGUCGACACUGGAGGAGCCGAAGGUUUCCAGUGCUCCUUGCACCAGGAAGCCUUCAAAGGAGCUGAUCCAGAUGGGUGCAGAUGAGCCUCUUGGGAGAGCCUCCUCUCCGUGGGGGGAGUUCCUCGAAGAGCUUGCUCUCACUGUGUCGAGCUCGCCGCAAGUUUUGCAGGUGGGAGAGGCUGCCCCUUCUCUCUUUGAGCGACAAAGCUGUCGUUUGGACAAGAAAACAAAGAUUGCGACAUUCCUGUAG
rnacentral:rRNA from 1 species